CCUACGGGGUGCAGCAGUGGGGAAUAUUGCACAAUGGGGGAAACCCUGAUGCAGCGACGCCGCGUGAGUGAAGAAGUAAUUCGUUACGUAAAGCUCUAUCAGCAGGGAAGAAACACUGACCUUACGGUCAGCAGACGGUACCUGAGUAAGAAGCCCCGGCUAACUACGUGCCAGCAGCCGCGGUAAUACAUAGGGGGCAAGCGUUAUCCGGAUUUACUGGGUGGAAAGGGAGCGUAGACGGUGCGCCAAGUCUGGAGUGAAAUGCCGCAGCUUAACUGCGGAACUGCUUUGGAAACUGGCGAACUAGAGUGCGGGAGGGGUAAGCGGAAUUCCUAGUGUAGCGGUGAAAUGCGUAGAUAUUAGGAGGAACACCGGUGGCGAAGGCGGCUUACUGGACCGUAACUGACGUUGAGGCUCGAAGGCGUGGGGAGCAAACAGGAUUAGAUACCCUAGUAGUC
rnacentral:rRNA from 1 species